rnacentral:lncRNA from 1 species
CCAGACGUGGGGCACUGGAGGGUCAGCAGCGUGGAGUCUGGCUUUCAGCGUCCACGGCUGGGAAAUCGGCCAUCGCCACGGCGGGAACUAGGACUGGCUGCGUCCCGGCCCUUCCCCAUCCGUCCACCGGACUCGUGGGCGCCCGCACUGGCGCUGAUGUAGUUUCCUGACCUCUGACCCGUAUUGUCUCAAGAUUAAAG